rnacentral:rRNA from 1 species
UACGAAGGGGGCUAGCGUUGUUCGGAUUUACUGGGCGUAAAGAGCUCGUAGGCGGUUUGUCGCGUCUGCUGUGAAAACCCGAGGCUCAACCUCGGGCCUGCAGUGGGUACGGGCAGACUAGAGUGCGGUAGGGGAGAUUGGAAUUCCUGGUGUAGCGGUGGAAUGCGCAGAUAUCAGGAGGAACACCGAUGGCGAAGGCAGAUCUCUGGGCCGUAACUGACGCUGAGGAGCGAAAGCGUGGGGAGCGAACAGG